rnacentral:rRNA from 1 species
GACGAACGCUGGCGGCGUGCCUAAUACAUGCAAGUUGAGCGAUGAAGAUUGGUGCUUGCACCAAUUUGAAGAGCAGCGAACGGGUGAGUAACGCGUGGGGAAUCUGCCUUUGAGCGGGGGACAACAUUUGGAAACGAAUGCUAAUACCGCAUAACAACUUUAAACAUAAGUUUUAAGUUUGAAAGAUGCAAUUGCAUCACUCAAAGAUGAUCCCGCGUUGUAUUAGCUAGUUGGUGAGGUAAAGGCUCACCAAGGCGAUGAUACAUAGCCGACCUGAGAGGGGGAUCCGCCAAAUUGGGACUGAGACACGGCCCAAACUCCCACGGGAGGCAGCAGUAGGGAAUCUUCGGCAAUGGACGAAAGUCUGACCGAGCAAAGCCGCGUGAGUGAAGAAGGUUUUCGGAUCGUAAAACUCUGUUGGUAGAGAAGAACGUUGGUGAGAGUGGAAAGCUCAUCAAGUGACGGUAACUACCCAGAAAGGGACGGCUAACUACGUG